GACGAACGCUGGCGGCGUGCUUAACACAUGCAAGUCGAACGGAAAGGCCCUGCUUGCAGGGUACUCGAGUGGCGAACGGGUGAGUAACACGUGGGUGAUCUGCCCUGCACUUCGGGAUAAGCCUGGGAAACUGGCUCUAAUACCGGAUAGGAGCCAUUUUUAGUGUGAUGGUUGGAAAGUUUUUUCGGUGUAGGAUGAGCUCGCGGCCUAUCAGCUUGUUGGUGGGGUAAUGGCCUACCAAGGCGGCGACGGGUAGCCGGCCUGAGAGGGCGGACGGCCACAUUGGGACUGAGAUACGGCCCAGACUCCUACGGGAGGCAGCAGUGGGGAAUAUUGCACAAUGGGCGCAAGCCUGAUGCAGCGACGCCGCGUGGGGGAUGACGGCCUUCGGGUUGUAAACUCCUUUCGCUAGGGACGAAGCUUUUUGUGACGGUACCUAGAUAAGAAGCACCGGCUAACUACGUG
rnacentral:rRNA from 1 species